rnacentral:misc_RNA from 1 species
UGGCGCUGGGUAACUCGAGUGGGAGGUCAAGGGUUGUCCGUUCUAUUUUGUUGAUUCUUUGAUUGUGAAACAGUCACGUUUAUGAAUUCCUUGCGGCGGAGAACAGCCGUUUCUUUGUGCGGAACUAUUUCGUUCAGUCUUCGAAGCUGCAGCGGUGGUACAAGCAUCUCUUAAGGAGAGAUGAACGUUCAGCAUGGAGGUUGUCGAGCUAUAUCAUAAGUUGAACGAAGGCCUAGGAUCGUACGCAUUUUCAAGAUGGAUCGGACAUUUUGUCGAAGAAUACCAAACGUCAAAUGUAUUGAUCGUAGUAAUUCUCAGUGUCAUACUCAUUGUAUUGAUUGCAUCGGUCUUUGUUAUGCGGAAAUGGAAGAACAAAGAAUUUCUCCCAGAAGUCAAAGAAUUUGUCGGAGUUGGAAGUGGCAAACCAAGAUUCAGAAAAAGGGACAAAGUUCUGUUUUAUGGCAGAAAAAUGCUGCGCAAAGUAAAAUCAAUAAGCGGGCAAGUGCACGGAACUGGUCAAGGCAAGAAACGGAGAGCAGUAAUGCGGUUUGCUCGACGAUUGCUGCAGCUGAGGAAAGAAUCUGCUCCUCAACAACUCAAGGUUUUAGAACCACCUGCCGAAUACCUUGAAGAAGAUUUAAGACCAGGAGAGAGAGUACCACCAGAUGCAUUAUAUAUGCUUCAAAGUAUCAGAGUGUUUGGACAUUUUGAGAAACCUGUAUUUCUUAAACUUUGCAAGCAUACUGAAAUUAUCGAUUUACCAGCUGGGAGCAAUUUAUUUAAAAUUGGUGACCCAGAUGAGAAUUUGUUUAUAGUACAGCAGGGUUUGGUAAAUGUGUUCAUAACAGGAUCGGAUGGAUCUCAAAUUCCCUUAAAGUUAGUUAAAACUGGAGAGUCAGUUACUAGUCUUCUUAGUUUUACCGAUGUACUGACUGGUCAUACGAGUAUAUAUAAAACUGUUUCUGCAAGAGCUGUAGAAGAUUCUGUUGUCGUUAAAUUACCAAUGCAUGCCUUUCAAGAGGUGUUUCAAGAUCAUCCAGAUGCAUUCAUUCGAGUUAUCCAGGUCAUUAUGGUUCGCCUUCAGCGUGUAACCUUUACUGCAUUACAUCAAUACCUUGGACUUUCUGCAGAGUUGGUUAACCAGGGAAUGUCCAAAAAGAAGCACAGUCCAUUCUCUGGUUCUCCAGUCAGAUCAAGAACAAAAGAGAAUUUUGCAGCUCAAAAUUCAGACAAUAUGUCUACUAUUUAUGGAGGAUUUGACCAACGUGAAGGAAGCGAUAUGCAACAUCGAGAAUCUUCGUUCGUUACUGGUUCACAACCUAUACCAAUUACAAUCAAUAGAAGAUCAAAAAAUUCAUUUGACUGGAAAUGUCAAAACACAAGUCCACAUUUGUGCCAGAAUGCGCCAGAUAUGGUUCCUGAGUGUGAUUCUCAUUGGCCAUAUCCAACAGCAAUGAACUUACAGCAAUCUUUGCACAGUGAGCCACCAGAUAUUACAUCUUCUGGAAGUACAUAUGUCAGGAAGCGAUCCACUAAUGAGGGACUUCAACAACAGCAACUUGACGAAGCUCAGUUUGUUCAGAUAGCUACGGAAGCAUUCGUUAGAGAGCUUGGUUUGGAAGAUGAAUCUGUGCUUAAGGAUGGUAAAGUCCAAAUUAGAGAAGUACCUGCAGGGACUUACCUUAUGAAGGAAGAAUCACAUAAGGAUGUGGCAUUAGUUUAUGUUGUCUCAGGUUCUUUGACAAUCAGUCAAAGAGUAGCUGAAGGACGCGAUGCAGGCCAAGAAGUGCACAUGUUUAGUGCGCACCAAGGAGAAAUAGUUGGUGGUUUAGCGGUACUAACUGGCGAACCAUCUUUUUAUACAAUUCGAGCAAAGAAUGCUAGUCGAAUAGCAUUGUUGUCUAAAUCUACAUUUUUUGCUCUUAUGAGAGAACAACCUACCAUUGUUUUACACGUUGCCAAUACAGUAGUUCGGAGACUGAGUCCUUUUGUUAGGCAGGUGGACUUUGCCUUGGACUGGCUAUUUCUUGAAAGUGGCCGAGCUGUAUACCGUCAAGGAGACGAGUCUGAUUCAACAUUUAUCGUUCUCAGUGGUCGACUAAGGUCAGUCAUCACACAAACGAACGGAAAAAAAGAAUUAGUUGCAGAAUAUGGCAAAGGAGACUUAGUAGGCAUCGUGGAGAUGGUUACUCAAACUCCUAGAUCCACGACAGUUAUGGCUGUACGAGAUUCUGAAUUAGCAAAGCUACCAGAGGGUCUUUUCAAUGUCAUCAAGCUAAGAUAUCCUAUAGUAGUUACAAGAUUAAUCAACUUGCUUGGUCAUCGUAUUCUUGGCACGUGGCAACAAAUGAAUGUAAAAACUGGUGUCAAUAGUCCACAACGAACUGCAACAACGGUCGAUGCAAGGCCGGCACAAGUGAAUUUUUCUACAGUAGCAAUAGUCCCUGUAUCGGAAGACGUUCCUUUGACAGCGUUUACAUACGAACUGUAUCACUCACUAUGUGCAAUUGGACCAUGUUUACGUCUUACUUCAGAUGUUAUCCGAAAGACGUUAGGGACAACGAUCAUGGAACCUGUAAAUGAAUAUCGAUUGACAUCAUGGCUCGCACAACAAGAAGAUCAACACAGAAUUUCACUGUAUCAAUGCGAUUCUAGUUACACAGUAUGGACGCAAAGAUGUGUACGACAGGCAGAUUGUAUUCUAAUAGUAGGCCUUGGUGAUCGACCGCCUACUUUAGGGCGGACAGAGCGAGAAGUAGAAAGAUUAGCUAUGCGAACUCAAAAAGAACUUGUAUUGUUGCACAAAGAACAGAGUGGUCAACGGCCUACCAAUACCGUCCAGUGGUUAAAUAUGAGAUCUUGGAUCUCUAGUCACCAUCACAUACAAUGCCCCAAACGUAUGUUCACCAGGAGAUCCCAAUAUCGUAUUAAUGAAUUAUAUUCCAAAGUGCUCAUGUCGGAACCCAAUGUACACAGUGACUUUAGCCGGCUAGCUCGUUGGCUCACCGGUACUUCUGUAGGUUUAGUUCUCGGUGGAGGUGGAGCCAGAGGAGCGGCGCAUAUAGGGAUGUUAAAAGCAAUUCUUGAAGCUGGAAUUCCUAUCGACAUGGUUGGAGGCGUUAGUAUAGGGGCAUUUAUGGGAGCUUUGUGGUGUAUGGAGAAAAACAUCACGACGACUACUCAGAAGGCCCGAGAAUGGUCAAAGAAAAUGACGCAGUGGUGGAGACAGAUCCUAGAUCUAACAUAUCCAAUGACUUCUAUGUUCUCUGGUAAAGAUUUCAAUAAGACUAUUCAAGCUACAUUUGGAGAUACGUACAUCGAGGAUCUUUGGCUUCCAUUUUUUACAAUUACGACAGAUAUUACUGCCUCUUCCAUGCGAACGCACACACACGGAUCACUGUGGCGGUACAUUCGGGGUUCGAUGUCAUUGUCUGGGUAUAUGCCUCCCAUGUGCGACCCAAUCGAUGGCCAUCUUCUUCUCGACGGCGGGUACGUCAAUAACCUUCCAGCGUUCAAGCUCACUCCCGUUGCUGAAAGAUGCAUCGUUGAGAUGUUGAACGGUUCAGUUUACUCGACUCAGGCUUGCUAUGGAGAUAUCUUCGAUCCAGUAUGACGAUAGCGGGCGUUUUCCCUCCCGUUUGCGAUCCUCUCGAUGGACAUCUUUUGGUCGACGGGUGUUACGUAAAUAAUGUCCCAGCUGACGAGAUGUUGAGACAAGGAGCUUACCAUAUAUUGGCCAUCGACGUAGGAUCCCAGGAUGACACCGACCUGACGAAUUACGGGGAUUCACUUUCCGGCUGGUGGUUACUUUGGAAACGUUGGAAUCCUUUUGCAAC